AGUGAACGCUGGCGGUAGGCCUAACACAUGCAAGUCGAACGGCAGCACAGUAAGAGCUUGCUCUUACGGGUGGCGAGUGGCGGACGGGUGAGGAAUACAUCGGAAUCUACUUUUUCGUGGGGGAUAACGUAGGGAAACUUACGCUAAUACCGCAUACGACCUACGGGUGAAAGCAGGGAAUCUUCGGACCUUGCGCGAUUGAAUGAGCCGAUGUCGGAUUAGCUAGUUGGCGGGGUAAAGGCCCACCAAGGCGACGAUCCGUAGCUGGUCUGAGAGGAUGAUCAGCCACACUGGAACUGAGACACGGUCCAGACUCCUACGGGAGGCAGCAGUGGGGAAUAUUGGACAAUGGGCGCAAGCCUGAUCCAGCCAUACCGCGUGGGUGAAGAAGGCCUUCGGGUUGUAAAGCCCUUUUGUUGGGAAAGAAAAGCAGCAGGUUAAUACCCCGCUGUUCUGACGGUACCCAAAGAAUAAGCACCGGCUAACUUCGU
rnacentral:rRNA from 1 species